UACAGGGGGUGCAAACGUUGCUCGGAAUUAUUGGGCGUAAAGCGCGCGUAGGCGGCUACUUAAGUCGGAUGUGAAAGCCCUUGGCUCAACUGAGGAAGUGCACCCGAAACUGAGUGGCUUGAGUACUAAAGAGGGUCGCGGAAUUCCCGGUGUAGAGGUGAAAUUCGUAGAUAUCUACAGGAACUCCGGUGGCGAAAGCGGCGUGCUGGACCUCUUCUGACGCUGAGGCGCGAAAGCUAGGGGAGCAAACGGG
rnacentral:rRNA from 1 species